GGUAAGCUGCCGACCCCUUGUCCGCCUCGUCUGACCCUUCUGACGUCCGACCUUUGUCCGUCUCGUCUGACCCCUUUUAAUCGUCCGACCUUUUCCGUCUCGUCCGACCCCAGUCCGCUUCGCCCGACCCCUCUUAUCCGCCCGACCCCGGUUCUGUCUCGUGCGACCCUGUCUGUUCCGCCGCCCCUUCUCCGCCUCGCCCGAGGACUCGGCUGUAUCCUUUUUCUUCGAACCAAGGGUGUAUGUGUAAAACUUGGGGACCCUUCAGCGCUGAGUCUGAGGACCCCUAGCACACCAAAUCCUCUAGAUUAAGGGUCAGAUCAUAAGUUCCUUUCC
rnacentral:lncRNA from 1 species